UCCAGUUCGAUCAAACUCACUCAACCAGCAAACCACUAGUAAACCACUAGCGAUCCUGAAUUUAAUCCGACCAGUCGUUCACCAAAUAGUAAGAACAAAGAAGAGGAAAGGAAAGAAGGAAAAGGAGCGAGCUUCAGCCGACAGCAGCUAGCAAGCAGCAUCCACACACGAACGCCAACACAGAGCACAGGAAGGGGAAGAAAGGCAGAAAAAGGGAUCCGCCGACCGACAUCGAAUCGCCCGUGCAAAUGGAGAACAUGAAGAACGAUCUUCUGCCCGCCAUCGCGACCAUAGACGAAGACAAUGCCGGGGCCAGCUCCACGGCAGAAACGGACCCCGGGACCCCGCGCCCGCCUACCACGACAGACCCGAAUCAGGGAAGAAUCCUGCUGAGCCCCGAUAUAAGUACCAAUUGAGCAUCACAAACGUCGAUCACGCACAUACUCACAUUUAUCUGAUUUAUCAAACCCAUCAAAUCAUCAGUACAUCAGUCUCCCCAGCGCUGUCAAGG